UACGUAGGGUGCAAGCGUUAAUCGGAAUUACUGGGCGUAAAGCGUGCGCAGGCGGCUUGGCAAGACAGAUGUGAAAUCCCCGGGCUUAACCUGGGAACUGCAUUUGUGACUGCAUGGCUGGAGUGCGGCAGAGGGGGAUGGAAUUCCGCGUGUAGCAGUGAAAUGCGUAGAUAUGCGGAGGAACACCGAUGGCGAAGGCAGUCCCCUGGGCCUGCACUGACGCUCAUGCACGAAAGCGUGGGGAGCAAACAGG
rnacentral:rRNA from 1 species